AUGAACGCUAGCGACAGGCUUAACACAUGCAAGUCGAGGGGCAGCGGGGGUAGCAAUACCCGCCGACGACCGGCGCACGGGUGAGUAACGCGUAUGCAACUUACCUAUCAGAGGGGGAUAACCCGGCGAAAGUCGGACUAAUACCGCAUGAAGCAGGGGCCCCGCAUGGGGAUAUUUGCUAAAGAUUCAUCGCUGAUAGAUAGGCAUGCGUUCCAUUAGGCAGUUGGCGGGGUAACGGCCCACCAAACCGACGAUGGAUAGGGGUUCUGAGAGGAAGGUCCCCCACAUUGGUACUGAGACACGGACCAAACUCCUACGGGAGGCAGCAGUGAGGAAUAUUGGUCAAUGGGCGUAAGCCUGAACCAGCCAAGUCGCGUGAGGGAUGAAGGUUCUAUGGAUCGUAAACCUCUUUUAUAAGGGAAUAAAGUGCGGGACGUGUCCCGUUUUGUAUGUACCUUAUGAAUAAGGAUCGGCUAACUCCGUGCCAGCAGCCGCGGUAAUACGGAGGAUCCGAGCGUUAUCCGGAUUUAUUGGGUUUAAAGGGUGCGUAGGCGGCCUUUUAAGUCAGCGGUGAAAGUCUGUGGCUCAACCAUAGAAUUGCCGUUGAAACUGGGGGGCUUGAGUAUGUUUGAGGCAGGCGGAAUGCGUGGUGUAGCGGUGAAAUGCUUAGAUAUCACGCAGAACCCCGAUUGCGAAGGCAGCCUGCCAAGCCAUGACUGACGCUGAUGCACGAAAGCGUGGGGAUCAAACAGGAUUAGAUACCCUGGUAGUCCACGCAGUAAACGAUGAUCACUAGCUGUUUGCGAUACAGUGUAAGCGGCACAGCGAAAGCGUUAAGUGAUCCACCUGGGGAGUACGCCGGCAACGGUGAAACUCAAAGGAAUUGACGGGGGCCCGCACAAGCGGAGGAACAUGUGGUUUAAUUCGAUGAUACGCGAGGAACCUUACCCGGGUUUGAACGCAUUCGGACCGAGGUGGAAACACCUUUUCUAGCAAUAGCCGUUUGCGAGGUGCUGCAUGGUUGUCGUCAGCUCGUGCCGUGAGGUGUCGGCUUAAGUGCCAUAACGAGCGCAACCCUUGCCACUAGUUACUAACAGGUAAAGCUGAGGACUCUGGUGGGACUGCCAGCGUAAGCUGCGAGGAAGGCGGGGAUGACGUCAAAUCAGCACGGCCCUUACAUCCGGGGCGACACACGUGUUACAAUGGCGUGGACAAAGGGAAGCCACCUGGCGACAGGGAGCGAAUCCCCAAACCACGUCUCAGUUCGGAUCGGAGUCUGCAACCCGACUCCGUGAAGCUGGAUUCGCUAGUAAUCGCGCAUCAGCCAUGGCGCGGUGAAUACGUUCCCGGGCCUUGUACACACCGCCCGUCAAGCCAUGGGAGCCGGGGGUACCUGAAGUCCGUAACCGCGAGGAUCGGCCUAGGGUAAAACUGGUGACUGGGGCU
rnacentral:rRNA from 1 species